GUUGAAUCAUGAGGACUUUUCUUUCUUAACGUAGCCGUAAAAGGAAGGUGUUUAUAUCUGGCGUGUUCGCUAACAACAUCUAGCUGCUUGUCCGGUGUAACAAUGUCAGAGUUUGGAUUUGGAGAGGAGUUCGUAAAGUGCAGAGGAGAAGAAGAGAAAGGUGUAGGAUUAAAAGAGUUUAUUUCGUCAGCCUCAACGGAAUUACCGUGGGAUAAUGUCGAUGAAGUUGUUUCCUUAAAAACCGCAAGCUGUAACCGAUUACUAACAGAUAAAUUUUUGGAAGACCGAUGAGGUCGGGGGAAGUAUCUCGAACGAGACACACGAAAGCUUGAUGGAGAUAAUGCUUCGUCAUGGAUGUUUUGAGAAUGCGUGUCAGAGGCAGGGGAAAAUAGAUUUUGAAGAGCAAUGGGAUCCAAAAAUUUUUCAUCCUUACUAGAAUUUGUAUAUGAAUGAGAAACGGUAGGUUUACUAUUUCUGUCAAGAGUAUUGUGAGAAGACAUAUCAGAUUCGACCGUCACGUAACCACGUUCAGUCUUGGAAUUUAUGUGAGAAAACCGAGAUUCAGGGGCUUUAGUAGAAGGCUCUAGUUUUGAAUUUGUACUAUUACUAUUAGAUGGUAUCGCCUCGCCAGCGAUGCGAUCCAAUUCAGAAAUGGGAGUUUUUGUCAAAAAAAGUUUUGCAUAAGUAACUGUACGAGAACAAAUAUUAACAAACGUGUUCAAAAAUGUCUUUUUACGUUUCCUUUGAUACUCUUCAUAUGUAAUACAAUCAUCCUGACGCGUCCUUUUUGACGCAUUGCGUUUUCCUAUCAUUCACGAGUGAAUUGUAAAGGGUGAAUCGCGAGAGGCUGUGACACACAACAACCUGGAAGGAUGAGCGCGUUCUUGCUUACGUUGUGAAAAUACCUCGUUAUACGAGUAUUGCGGUAUUUACUGUAAACAAACUACUUUUUGUGUUUAUAUUACAA